AGGAGUCAACGUAAGCAAAGAGAGCCUCCUCAAAAUGCCCUGUCAUUGCCAGCAGUCACAGUGAAGCUUCUGGACCCUGAAUUUGAAGAACAAAACAGCUCAAAGAGUAAGAGUGAAACAUCAUGCCUUAGUAUUAAGAAACCCCCACGGAAAGCUAACUUAUGGAUUUAUAUAUCAUAAACUAGGUCUGUCACCCAUACAAGAUAAACAAGUGAGUCCAAGGAAAUCAAGUGGCCUUGUCUGUUUCAGUGUUUAACUAGUUUGAACUCUAAUUAAUUUGAUUUAUCAUACUUAUAUUGAUUAGUACAAAUCUAUGAUGAGUGUCUAUUCCAUAUUUUAGGCAUUCCCAGGAAUGCUGAAAAAGAAAUUACGUCAACCAAAAGUAGAGAUGUACAACAUCAUAUCCAAACCUACUGCAGCUCCCACUGUCUUCACGCUGACUCUGAAGGUCUGUGCCUGACUCCCCAGACUCGUUACGAACUGACCCUCUUUAAACGUCCACAGUCAUUUCCUAGCACCAGCCUCUGUCCCAAGGCUGAAAGCCUCCCCACAAUUGUUCCGGAAUGGCGUAAUCCCUGCGCCUCUCUACCCUCACUCAUGCCCUUCCUCUUACUGAAUUGCUUUUGUCCUUCUGCCUCUCCUGGUCCUGUUGCACAAGUUGGGUCUCUUUUGAUUGCAAGUGACAGAAACCCAAGCCAAAUGUUUUAAGUAAAAGAGAGAAAGUAUUGGGGCCAGCCUGGUGGUGCAGCUGUUAAGUUCACGCAUUCUGCUUUGGUGGCCCGGGGUUUACCAGUUUGCAUCCUGGGUGCAGACCUAUGUACCGCUUAUCAAGCCGCACUUUGGCAGGUGUCCCACAUAUAAAGUAGAAGAUGGGCAUAGAUGUUAGCUCAGGGCCAGUCUUCCUCAGCAAAAAGAGGAGGAUUGGUAGUGGAUGUUAGCUGAGGGCCAAUCUUCCUCACACACACACACAGAAAAAUAUCUUCUUGAAGCAAUGAGUUGGAAAAAAGUUCUAAAGAAAGGUGAGUCUUGAGAUGUAACCUAAAGUAACGAGGGGCUGGCCUGGUGGCACAGUGGUUAAGUUCACAUGUUCUGCUUUGGCGGCCUGGGGUUCACCAGUUCAGAUCCCAGGCGCUGACCUAUGCACUGCUUGUCAAGCCAUGCUAUGGUAGGCGUCCCACAUAUAAAGUAGAGGAAGAUGGGUAGGGAUGUUAGCUCAGGGCCAGUCUUCCUCAGCAAAAAGAGGAGGAUCAGCGGCAGAUGUUAGCUCAGGGCUAAUCUUCCUCAAAAAAAAAUAAUAAUAAAGUAAUGAAGAUGAACUAAAGAAAAGAGAUAAACACAGGGUUUCUCCUUUAAUAAAAGUAUUAAAAUUAAAUGAAUGUUUUUCAUCAUUCUAUGUUGAUAUUUUAUAUAAUUAUUACAGGCUUCUUGUUUUGUGUAGAGUGCUUAUAAAUCUUAAUUCAAUACAGACAUCAAAUAAAACAAAUAUUUUUCUAAACAUUGAAGUACAGUCAUACACUGAAACAACACCCAAAUGCUUAUAACUCAGAGUAAAAAAUAAAGAAUAUUUUCAAAUAAUUGAAGUAAAAAUUCAAUUUUAACAGUGAUGUUAUAUUCAAGUAAAGAGUAAAUAAAUAUCACAAAACUGACUUCUACUAACUCACAUUUGAUUUCAAAAAUAAUAAAUUAAAAUACAUCCUGGCCAAAUUAACUUGAGCCAAUGUCUUAGCAAAGAGGUGAGUGGAAAGUCGGGACCGGACAAGCUCUCAUGCUGGCCGCUGACCGCCCCUCGGUGCCAGGCCAGCAGGAGGCCUGAGCUGGUGAACGCCCAUGCAGUCAGUCCAAACUCCUGCUCUGCAGACACUGUGAGCAGACUGGCCAAAUGGAAAGAAGGUUCUGUAGCUUGAUUGCCAAGGAAGUGUGAUAAGAAAAAGCUUGAAACUCCAAUGAAAUAAAUCUACUUCUAGAAACCUUUCUUUAAGGGCACAUUCAGAAACACAGAAAAUACAAUGGUAUUCCUUACAUUAUUCAUUUUAACCUUUUAAAAGAUCAGAAAUAAUCUAAAAAUGAUCACAAUAUGUGAAUGGAAUGGCUAAUAGAAG
rnacentral:lncRNA from 1 species